GAUGAACGCUGGCGGCGUGCCUAGUACAUGCAAGUCGAGCGAACAGACGAGGAGCUUGCUCCUCUGACGUUAGCGGCGGACGGGUGAGUAACACGUGGAUAACCUACCUAUAAGACUGGGAUAACUUCGGGAAACCGGAGCUAAUACCGGAUAAUAUAUUGAACCGCAUGGUUCAAUAGUGAAAGACGGUUUUGCUGUCACUUAUAGAUGGAUCCGCGCCGCAUUAGCUAGUUGGUAAGGUAACGGCAUACCAAGGCAACGAUGCGUAGCCGACCUGAGAGGGUGAUCGGCCACACUGGAACUGAGACACGGUCCAGACUCCUACGGGAGGCAGCAGUAGGGAAUCUUCCGCAAUGGGCGAAAGCCUGACGGAGCAACGCCGCGUGAGUGAUGAAGGUCUUCGGAUCGUAAAACUCUGUUAUUAGGGAAGAACAAAUGUGUAAGUAACUAUGCACGUCUUGACGGUACCUAAUCAGAAAGCCACGGCUAACUACGUG
rnacentral:rRNA from 1 species